UACGUAGGGUGCGAGCGUUUAAUCGGAAUUACUGGGCGUAAAGCGUGCGCAGGCGGUUUUGUAAGCCAGAUGUGAAAGCCCCGGGCUUAACCUGGGAAUGGCAUUUGGGACUGCAAGGCUUGAGUGCGGCAGAGGAGACUGGAAUUCCUGGUGUAGCAGUGAAAUGCGUAGAUAUCAGGAGGAAUACCGAUGGCGAAGGCAGGUCUCUGGGCUGACACUGACGCUCAUGCACGAAAGCGUGGGGAGCAAACAGG
rnacentral:rRNA from 1 species